AAUGUGUCUAUGCUAAAUAUGAUAUCAGAAAGUUGUCUUCUGGAAUCAGUGUGGUUCAGCUGUAAGGCUGAGUAGGUAUUAAAAAAAUACUUUUCUUUUUUUUUUUGUUUUUGUUUUGAGUGGCAAUAAUUUAAACAAUUUUCCUUGAUUCUACUACUUUCAAGGUCAGUUUACUCCAUAUUUAGAGAACCAAACUUUCUAAAGCCUCUCCUAACAGGUUAUCAAUUUGGGAGUUUGUUUGAUUUCCUCUUAAUGGAAAUAACAUCUUUAUUCUAGCCCAGUUUUGCCUGCACUUCACAAUAAUUAGAGCAUAAUAUAAUACAUUUAUAAUUCAUUGGUGUAUAAAAAUCUAUUCUAGGUUAUCACAAGGAGAAAAGCUCUCCUUGCUUGUGCUGCAGAGAUAGGGUUAAAAUGCUCUUUGUGCAGUGCGUUUUGCUGUAACUUGCAGUUUUCACCGAUACUUGGUCGCUGCGGUCUUUCACUCUCUCCUCUGCUGUCUUGUACAACUCUUUCUCUUGCUUCAGCUAGUUUUAUCCCUUCUCUUUUGUCUUUUGUGUUUGAAGGCAAGGUCAGCAAGCCGCCUGUCUGCAAGGGCUCCCAGCAGAGCAGGAGAUGGCUGACGUGAAAGCCACCGCUCCGAGCUGCAUGGGGGUACAGAGGACACCUGAAAGCGUUCCAACAGGAAAAAAGAAAGCUGGAAGGACCCAGAGGUUUAAGCCUUGUCUGCUUCUUCCCCUCUGUACCCCCCAAAUAAGAAAAGUGUUUGUCCUUCACAGAAGAGCAAGAGAUCUCAUCAUAUUUAGUCUCAAAUUGUUCAAAGAAGAGGCCCUUCAAUCUUUCAAAUACAGGCUGUGCAGAGUAUUGCUUUGAGUUGGGCAUGUUCUCUUCUCAGCUUGCAUGGGUAAAUCGAGAGGAGUCGGACUAAGGUCAGUAAGAUAUUUCGAUUUACAUCGGCCUUAAAAAUCUAAAUGCAUCUUAUAAACCUAAUCCAAACAAAAUAUGGUUAAAUAAG
rnacentral:lncRNA from 1 species